GAUCAGCCAAAGCCCAAAAUAGUCUUAAAAUUAUCAUAAUUAUCAUGUGUGUUACAGUCAAUGCCCAGUGUUUACCAUUUUGUGAAGUCAUUUGUCCAAAGUUCAAAAUGUACAAUAAUUUAUGACUAUUUUGGGCUUUGGCUGAUCACUUCGAGUUUGCUCUAUAGUCAGUGGCCAGUUCGGGUUUUGUUUGAGAAAAUGUGGCCAAAGAUAGUUUUAUGGGGGGCUGAUGAUGCAGUUAUGGGAAUUGAUCAUAUCAAUUCUAACUGAUGUUAUUACCACUGUGAAAAUCUUUUUGGUUUAGUCAAAGUAGAAAAAAUUAUUUUGAAAACAAAGAGAG
rnacentral:lncRNA from 1 species